GGAGCAGGUGGUCGCCUCUCCAUGGUGCUCAGCUAUCCGGCGCGAGUUGGAGCGGUGCGGGCUGACUGUGCUGUGCAGGGGCGGCAUUAAGGUCACAACCAAGGUUUGGGAAGUGGCGGUUGUCGAGCAACGGUGAGCAUGUCUGAUUUCAGACGUUGCUACUGUUGGUCUCGGCUGUGGAGAUUGAUGGAGAGCAAGGAGGAGCAGAGCGGUCUACAUCUUUUUCUUUCCUCGCUCAUAGGUGAGGAUAUCGAUGGAGGUUAUAGUAAAGAAGAGGUAGAAGAGCUCACAAAAAUAAGCAAUUAGGUGAUCUGGCUGUGUCCCUGCAGCUGACAGGAAUUUCAAGCAGAUAGAAACUAUGCUGCAGUUUCUGGGUUCAGCUGACAUUGUCCAGCUGGUGGUAAACAAGCUCUUUUAUGCCGAGGACCAAAAGAAGACCCUACAACAGACCGAUUACUUUAACAAAAAGGUUGCUCCAAAGGAGCUUGCUGAUGAAAUUAAGG